UGCAACAAAGGAAAAGAAAGACAGGCUUUCACUAUGGCAAAUUAGAAUAAAAUUUGUGUCCAAGCAAAUUAAUUAAACAGAAUUUUUAAAUAACAAUAUUUUGAAAAUAGGAACAGUGCAAAUUAGAUUAUGCUUUGUCAUCUUGUUCUCUGCCAUUUUUCAUUGCAACCAAACAAGUUUUAUAUUCCUCACAAGUGACCAGUGAGAAGUGUCACAUGACAUAAUAUGGAUUGACAUCUUCCUCUUAACACAUCAGAUAUCCUGAAUCUUCUGGAAACCACCGACUGCUCAGAGACAGUACCCUGCAGUCUCUCCAGCAAGGAAUGAAAGCACUGAGGUCUUGACAGAAGAUAAGCAAGUGAAUAAAGUUCACAUAUGCUUAAAUUAAUCUUUCUUCUUUGAAAUAUACAAUUAAUUAAAAUUGCCUUGUUGUAUUGCUGAGACAGAAGUAUGAAUUAAGAUUGUGACAGAGGCUUAGUUUCAGAUGAUUAUGAUGAUGACUGUGGCUCCUGAUGGUCUUGGAAGUCUGACCACUGUCAGUGGGCUUCAUGGGAAAGCCUGAUAUAUGCCUGCCUCAAGUGUUUCACGGUACUUUUUAGAAACCAUUAAAAAUUCAGUCUCUUGCAAGUA